AGCGAACGCUGGCGGCAGGCUUAACACAUGCAAGUCGAGCGGGCGUAGCAAUACGUCAGCGGCAGACGGGUGAGUAACACGUGGGAACGUACCUUUUGGUUCGGAACAACACAGGGAAACUUGUGCUAAUACCGAAUAAGCCCUUACGGGGAAAGAUUUAUCGCCGAAAGAUCGGCCCGCGUCUGAUUAGCUUGUUGGUGAAGUAACGGCUCACCAAGGCGACGAUCAGUAGCNGGUCUGAGAGGAUGAUCAGCCACACUGGGACUGAGACACGGCCCA
rnacentral:rRNA from 1 species